AGCGCAGGCGGGAGAACAAGUUGGAAGUGAAAUCCAUGGGCUCAACCCAUGAACUGCUUUCAAAACUGUUUUUCUUGAGUAGUGCAGAGGUAGGCGGAAUUCCCGGUGUAGCGGUGGAAUGCGUAGAUAUCGGGAGGAACACCAGUGGCGAAGGCGGCCUACUGGGCACCAACUGACGCUGAGGCUCGAAAGUGUGGGUAGCAAAC
rnacentral:rRNA from 1 species